GAUUACUAUUUUGUUUUCAUUUUCAUUUACUUUUGGUUGCACUUGUACUACUUCUUUCUCUUAUAGUGUGGUAAGUACUUUCAUAUCCUUAUCUAUGUGUUUCCUUUAGCUAGUGUUUCAGUGGUCUUAUUUACUUUUUGACUCAAUUGAAAGUUUCUGUCUUUGCAGAUCUGUGGGUUGAUGAUGUGACAGUAUGCAGUGGCCUCCAUUUCUUUUUCAUCAUAGAAGUUUGUUCUGGUUCAUUUCUUGAUCGGACAUUGUGACAAGUGCUUCCUGAGUUCAAAAUGUCAAGCAACAGAGUUUUUUUAACAUACAACAGAAGGAGGGUAUCAUCAAGAACUGGUCUUGGCCAUGGAAAUGGCUGUUGGGAUUCAAUGUCAAAUGGUUUAAGUGACGCUUUGAUGACUGCAUCAGACAAACAUGAUGCACCAAGUGAAAAGUGCCUCAGAAAUGGUUGUUGCAAUUCAAUCUCUAAUGGUUUAAGUGACACUUUGAUGACUGCAUCUGACAAACAUGAUGCACCAAGUGGCAAGCAUGUACCAGAAGAUCAAAGAACAAAUUCAAUGCAGAUUUCUCUCGAGUGUGUUGUAUGUGGUGCCAGAGACAACUUAUUGCAAUGUGAUGACUGCCAUCAAAGUUAUCAUCUUCGGUGUCUUGAUCGGUCUGUGAAGCAUAUUCGUCUUGGGAAAAGGCUAUGCUCUGAUUGUUUUGUAAAAAAAUCUCAGCCGGUCCGAAAAUCUAGCAGACUGAAGGCAAGGAAGCACAUUCAAGGAUCUAAUGUGCUGCAAAUGACAGUUAGGUCUCAGAAUCUUGGUGAGGGUCCCUCAAGGACUGACACUGGUGAAUGGUCUUCUGUGGAUAUCUCAUCCAAAAAUAAAUCAAUUGACUUUCACAAUGGUUCAUGUUCCAAUGUGAACUAUUCUUCUGCAAGUGAUAAUGCAUGCUCUGAAAGUAGAUUGGUUUCUCAGUCAAUGGGGAUGGAAACUGCACAGAGCUUAAAUUUUAUUGGUUCAAAAUCAGCUGAUGAAAGCAAAAGUAGCUUGCCAUGUGAUGAUGGCUCUUCCAUGUCAAAAACAUUAAACUUGGGAAUCUCCACAGAUAACUUCACCAACUUAUCCAGUGAUUUGCAUGUGCAGAGGAAAGUGACCACUCCAUUGAUUACUUUCAGUCGGAAAAAUAAAAGGAAAAAAGAUUUAGAUCAGGCUGAUGCACUGAAGGAUUCAUCUCCCAUGGAGAAUAGUGGUUCUUUACUAACCAGGUGGAGUAAUUAUACUCGUGUGAAUACCUCUUCUUCUGAAGCAACAUCUCAUAAAGGCAGAUCAAUAGAUCAUUCAGGACGUAUGGAGCUACCAGGGAAAAAUCCAGAUGGUGGGCAUCUUUGUUGCAACCAAGAUAAAAUGAACGAAGUUCAAUCUUUAGAUGGUGAUGCAAGACCUGUCUUGGAAACUAGGAACAGUUUGACAUGUGAGGAUAAACUAUUACAUGAUGGCAAAGGCAUAUCCAAGGAUGAUUUACUUGUUUCUGGGCAAGAACCAUUCCAUAGUAGCAAAGUUUCCUUGGAUGUUCAAAAAACCUCUUUAAAUAACACAGUCAAAGAUUCUUCCCCUAAUGGCAUAACUGAAGAUGAAAAUUUAGAGAACUGUGAAUUUCAGGCAUGUGUUGGAGAUGAAUCUCAGGUCUUGUCCAGUGAUGGUGUGAAAGCAACAAGGGUUCCUGAAUGUACAAGAGAAAAAUUACUACCUUGUUUGAACCAUUCUGUUACUUGCCCUGACUCAUGUUGUGCAAUGAGCUAUUAUAUUGACAUCAAUUCGAGUCCACCGAAGCAACCUUCUAAUUCUGCACCAGUGGCUCUUUUGGACUCACUAGAUUCUUCAAGCAGAAGUCAUACCUCUUUAUCACAUGAAGUGUCUCCUUCAGAAUUAAUGGAUGCAAUAAAUGAGAGAGGUGGGAAAUCUCCAUUGGUGCACAACACAAGGGUACCUGCGGAGACAUUGAUGCUUGUGGAUGAUGUUGGUGCCAACUGCAGAAAUAAUCCCGGGUGCUUCAUGGACAUUGCAUCAAAAUCCAAAUGCCUACGGUUAUUUUCGGAAGAAAAAAGCAAUGAUGUUCCCCCUAGGGUAGUUACAAGACCUGAGGAAAGAACAUACAUGGUUUCAGAGGAAAGAAACACAUUCCAAUUAGCCAGUGAAAUUAAUCCGCCGAAGCAAACUUCAAGCAGAUCUUCAUGCUUCUUAGAUUUAUCCUUGCCAAUAGAACCUAAUUUUGGUGGAUGCUCCUCCAAGAAUUUCUCCACUACAAUGCCAUUGCUAAACUCCAGUGAUGAAUUUAAAGAGUUUAUCUACGGUGAAGUGAAUCAAUCCUCGUUUAGCCAAACAUCCAAGCAGAGACACAAGAUGGUGCUUGACAGCAUCAUGAACCGAGCAAGAGCUUUGAAUGGAAGAGGCAGUUUUCAAGACCAAUUCAAGCCAUAUGUUAACUUUUGGUCUGAGGAGGAGUUGGAUUUUCUCUGGAUAGGUGUCAGAAGACAUGGAAGGGACAAUUGGGAUGCCAUAUUGGGAGACACUAGAUUGCACUUCUCUCCAUGGAGGGUGGCUGCAGAUCUUGCUGAGAGGUGGGAGGAGGAACAAUAUAAACUUUUGAAUGGCACGUCUGUUUCACAAUUCAAGUAUUCAAAAGCACAGGUUGUUUCUUUCGACUGUAGAGAUGCCUUCUUUCAUCCCACAAGAAGAGUCCGGACAGAAAAUAUGAUGGAUAAAACCCGACUUUCGCUCGGUGGUGUAUAUGCUCAUAGAGAUGGCAGUAUCUCAAAGAGACCAUGUUUUGACUUCGCAAAAAUUGAAAGCAGUGGCACUGAACAGCUCCAGGGUCCUAUUGUUUAUCAAAGGAGGGGCCCUUAUACAGAUUUUCAAGGGGAAGUAUAUGAUCGGGGAUCAUGCAAUUAUUUUGGAAGCAAGAAUUUGCCUAUAUGUGAUCCAUUAUGGAGCAAUGACCCUGUUACUUGCUCAAUUGUGAAGAGUGAUUUGCCCCACUGGCUUAGAGAAGCUGUAACUGCUCCACAUGAAAAGCCAGCGGUGCCAACUAUUCCUCCAAGGACACUGCAGGUUAGCCAACCUAAUUUUGAUCCUAGUGAGCCACACUUUGGGCCCAGGAACAGAGUCCACAGUGAAUUUUCCAGUUUAAGAGCAAGUGGCUUACAACCAUCUACUAGUGCUCAUCACAACUUCUCCUCUGGAAUAAGACAUGGAAUAGAUGAGCAAAACAAGACCUCUUUGUAUAAUACAAAUAAACCAACUGAAUUGAUCAUCAUUGAGAGUGACGCAUCUUCGGAAGAGACCAUAUCUGAUGAUCAUACUUCAAGGCCCUAGGCUUAGUACUGAAGCUUUUGCUAGUGAGACUGUUGCCGCAAGUUGUAGAAAGUAGAUGUUAAACAACCUGAAAAUCCAUUGAAAUGAUAUUUCGAUUCUUCUGCACUGUGCACAUAUGCAUUCUGAUCAUCGUCUCUCAAUGGCUGAGGAUCUUGGGAGAUUUCUAUGCAUCUCUGAGAUUUUCUCAGUCCUUCGAGCUCCAUCGCCACCUCUUUCAUGGAGUACAUUGGAAGAUUUGAUAUCGCGAUGAAAAAUGGGGAUUGAGGCUGCAGAAUGCAUAUAAGCUACUGCUCCUGCAACAUCGCAAGCAAUUCU